CACGGGGUUGGCGAGCGUUGUCCGGAAUUACUAGGCGUAAAGGGCAGGCAGGCGGAUCCAUAAGUUUAUCGUUUAAGGCGUCGGCUUAACCGGCGUAGGGCGGUAGAUACUGUGGAUCUGGAAUGCGGUUGGGAAGACAGAAUUCCUGGUGUAGCGGUGGAAUGCGCAGAGAUCAGGAGGAAUACCGAAGGCGAAGGCAGUCUUCCAAGCCGUUAUUGACGCUCAACUGCGAAGGUGUGGGUAUCAAACAGGAUUAGAUACCCUGGUAGUCCCUGAGCGGG
rnacentral:rRNA from 1 species